GAUGAACGCUGGCGGCGUGCUUAACACAUGCAAGUCGAACGAACCUUCGGGUUAGUGGCGGACGGGUGAGUAACGCGUGAGAAUUUGCCCUCAGGAGGGGGAUAACGGCUGGAAACGGCCGCUAAUACCCCAUAUGCCGAGAGGUGAAAUGAAUUUUGCCUGGGGAUGAGCUCGCGUUUGAUUAGCUAGUUGGUGGGGUAAAGGCCUACCAAGGCUUCGAUCAGUAGCUGGUUUGAGAGGAUGAUCAGCCCCACUGGGACUGAGACACGGCCCAGACUCCUACGGGAGGCAGCAGUGGGGAAUUUUUCGCAAUGGGCGAAAGCCUGACGGAGCAACGCCGCGUGAGGGAUGAAGGCCUUUGGGCUGUAAACCUCUUUUAUCAAGGAAGAAGAUUUGACGGUAAAGGAUGAAUAAGCCCCGGCUAAUUCCGUGCCAGCAGCC
rnacentral:rRNA from 1 species